UCCUACGGGAGGCAGCAGUGGGGAAUAUUGGACAAUGGGGGGAACCCUGAUCCAGCCAUGCCGGGUGUGUGAAGAAGGCCUUAUGGUUGUAAAGCACUUUAAGCGAGGAGGAGGCUCCUAUAGAUAAUACCUAUAGAGAGUGACGUACUC
rnacentral:rRNA from 1 species